GACGAACGCUGGCGGCGUGCUUAACACAUGCAAGUCGAACGAGAAUCUACUGAAAGAGUUUUCGGACAAUGGAUGUAGAGGAAAGUGGCGGACGGGUGAGUAACGCGUGAGGAACCUGCCUUGAAGAGGGGGACAACAGUUGGAAACGACUGCUAAUACCGCAUGACGCAUAGAGGUCGCAUGAUCUUUAUGCCAAAGAUUUAUCGCUUCAAGAUGGCCUCGCGUCUGAUUAGCUGGUUGGCGGGGUAACGGCCCGACCAAGGCGACGACCAGUAGCCGGACUGAGAGGUUGGACGGCCACAUUGGGACUGAGAUACGGCCCAGACUCCUACGGGAGGCAGCAGUGGGGAAUAUUGGGCAAUGGGCGCAAGCCUGACCCAGCAACGCCGCGUGAAGGAAGAA
rnacentral:rRNA from 1 species